GAUGAACGCUGGCGGCGUGCCUAAUACAUGCAAGUCGAGCGAACGGACGAGAAGCUUGCUUCUCUGAUGUUAGCGGCGGACGGGUGAGUAACACGUGGAUAACCUACCUAUAAGACUGGGAUAACUUCGGGAAACCGGAGCUAAUACCGGAUGAUAUUUUGAACCGCAUGGUUCAAAAGUGAAAGACGGUCUUGCUGUCACUUAUAGAUGGAUCCCGGCUUCAUUAGCUAGUUGGUAAGGUAACGGCUUACCAAGGCAACGAUGCAUAGCCGACCUGAGGGGGGGAUCGGCCACACUGGAGCUGAGACACGGUCCAGACUCCUACGGGAGGCAGCAGUAGGGAAUCUUCGGCAAUGGGCGAAAGCCUGACGGAGCAACGCCGCGUGAGUGAUGAAGGUCUUCGGAUCGUAAAACUCUGUUAUUAGGGAAGAACAUAUGUGGAAGUAAAUGUGCACAUCUUGACGGUACCUAAUCAGAAAGCCACGGCUAACUACGUG
rnacentral:rRNA from 1 species